AUUGAACGCUGGCGGCAGGCCUAACACAUGCAAGUCGAGCGGAGCGGCGGACGGGUGAGUAAUGCCUAGGAAUCUGCCUGGUAGUGGGGGAUAACGUCCGGAAACGGGCGCUAAUACCGCCUACUAUCGGAUUAGCCUCGGUCGGUUGGGCUAGUUGGUGGGGUAAAGGCCUACCAAGGCGACGAUCCGUAACUGGUCUGAGAGGAUGAUCAGUCCCCCUGGAACUCAGACACGGUCCAGACGCCUACGGGAGGCGGCAGUGGGGAAUAUUGGGCAAUGGGGGAAGGCCUGAUCCAGCCAGGCCGCGUGUGUGAAGAAGGUCUUCGGAUUGUGAAGCACUUUAAGUUGGGAGGCGUUACCCGCAGAAGAAGCACCGGCUAACUCCGUGCCAGCAGCCGCGGUAAUAC
rnacentral:rRNA from 1 species